GGGGCUAUAGCGCAGCUGGGAGCGCGUCUGACUGGCAGUCAGAAGGUCAGGGGUUCGACUCCCCUUAGCUCCA
rnacentral:tRNA from 1 species